AGAUUAUAUUGACAAAGAUAGUGGUGAAAAAGGAGUUGUGAAGGGAAACUUGUUAUUCAAGACACAAGGAGCGAGUCCGGCCGAGAAAGCACCAGAGGUGUAACUAUGGUGUAUGAGACACCAUCUUUUACGUUGCCUCUUAUUUUGGAUUAUACAAUGUAUCUUGUGCCAACUUAGGACAUAUCUUCUUUGUGAAGCAUGUAAACUCUAAUCCUUUUUAUUAAAAGUAUUUAUAUGACCAAGAGGAUUAUAUCUGUC